rnacentral:siRNA from 1 species
ACUCUCCCACUUGCCCGAGACGAA